GAUGAACGCUAGCGGCAGGCUUAACACAUGCAAGUCGAGGGGCAGCACAGGUAGCAAUACUGGGUGGCGACCGGCAAACGGGUGCGGAACGCGUACGCAAUCUACCUUUAUCUGGGGCAUAGCCCGGAGAAAUCCGGAUUAACUCCCCAUAGAAUCACAGAAAGGCAUCUUUCAAUGAUUAAAAUUUAUUGGAUAGAGAUGAGCGUGCGUCCCAUUAGCAGUUGGUAAGGUAACGGCUUACCAAGGCGACGAUGGGUAGCUGGUGUGAGAGCACGACCAGCCACACGGGCACUGAGACACGGGCCCGACUCCUACGGGAGGCAGCAGUGAGGAAUAUUGGUCAAUGGACGCAAGUCUGAACCAGCCAUGCCGCGUGAAGGAUGAAGGCC
rnacentral:rRNA from 1 species